rnacentral:rRNA from 1 species
ACGGGUGAGGAAUACAUCGGAAUUUGCCCUGUCGUGGGGGAUAACGUAGGGAAACUUACGCUAAUACCGCAUACGACCUAACGGUGAAAGGGGGGGAUCGCAAGACCUCCCGCGGUUGGAUAAGCCGAUGUCAGAUUAGCUAGUUGGCGGGGUAAAGGCCCACCAAGGCGACGAUCUGUAGCUGGUCUGAGAGGAUGAUCAGCCACGCUGGGACUGAGACACGGCCCAGACUCCUACGGGAGGCAGCAGUGGGGAAUAUUGGACAAUGGGGGCAACCCUGAUCCAGCAAUGCCGCGUGUGUGAAGAAGGCCUUCGGGUUGUAAAGCACUUUUAUCAGGAGCGAAACACGUAAGGUUAAUAACCUUGCGGACUGACGGUACCUGAGGAAUAAGCACCGGCUAACUUCGUGCCAGCAGCCGCGGUAAUACGAAGGGUGCAAGCGUUACUCGGAAUUACUGGGCGUAAAGCGUGCGUAGGUGGUUUCUUAAGUCUGCUGUGAAAGCCCCGGGCUCAACCUGGGAAUUGCAGUGGAUACUGGGGAGCUAGAGUGCGGUAGAGGGUAGUGGAAUUCCCGGUGUAGCGGUG